rnacentral:rRNA from 1 species
GAGUUUGAUCCUGGCUCAGAACGAACGCUGGCGGCAGGCCUAACACAUGCAAGUCGAACGCUGUAGUAAUACAGAGUGGCAGACGGGUGAGUAACGCGUGGGAACGUGCCCUUCGGUUCGGAAUAACUCAGGGAAACUUGAGCUAAUACCGGAUACGCCCUUAGGGGGAAAGAUUUAUUGCCGAAGGAUCGGCCCGCGUCCGAUUAGCUAGUUGGUGUGGUAAUGGCGCACCAAGGCGACGAUCGGUAGCUGGUCUGAGAGGAUGAUCAGCCACACUGGGACUGAGACACGGCCCAGACUCCUACGGGAGGCAGCAGUGGGGAAUAUUGGACAAUGGGCGCAAGCCUGAUCCAGCCAUGCCGCGUGAGUGAUGACGGCCCUAGGGUUGUAAAGCUCUUUCGCCAGGGACGAUAAUGACGGUACCUGGAUAGGAAGCCCCGGCUAACUUCGUGCCAGCAGCCGCGGUAAUACGAAGGGGGCUAGCGUUGUUCGGAAUCACUGGGCGUAAAGCGCACGUAGGCGGAUCUUUAAGUCAGGGGUGAAAUCCCGAGGCUCAACCUCGGAACCGCCUUUGAUACUGGAGGUCUCGAGUCCGGGAGAGGUGAGUGGAACUGCGAGUGUAGAGGUGAAAUUCGUAGAUAUUCGCAAGAACACCAGUGGCGAAGGCGGCUCACUGGCCCGGAACUGACGCUGAGG